UAGAGUUUGAUCCUGGCUCAGAGCGAACGCUGGCGGCAGGCCUAACACAUGCAAGUCGAGCGCCGUAGCAAUACGGAGCGGCAGACGGGAGAGUAACACGUGGGAACGUGCCCUUCAGUUCGGAACAACCCAGGGAAACUUGGGCUAAUACCGGAUACGCCCUUACGGGGAAAGAUUUAUCGCUGAAGGAUCGGCCCGCGUCUGAUUAGCUUGUUGGUGAGGUAACGGCUCACCAAGGCGACGAUCAGUAGCUGGUCUGAGAGGAUGAUCAGCCUCACUGGGACUGAGACACGGCCCAGACUCCUACGGGAGGCAGCAGUGGGGAAUAUUGGACAAUGGGCGCAAGCCUGAUCCAGCCAUGCCGCGUGAGUGAUGAAGGCCUUAGGGUUGUAAAGCUCUUUCGGCGGGGAAGAUAAUGACGGUACCCGCAGAAGAAGCCCCGGCUAACUUCGUGCCAGCAGCCCCGGUCAA
rnacentral:rRNA from 1 species